UACAUAGGGUGCAAGCGUUGUCCGGAUUUAUUGGGCGUAAAGAGUUCGUAGGCGGUUUUUCGCGUCGGAUGUGAAAACUCAGGGCUCAACCCUGAGCCUGCAUUCGAUACGGGAAGACUCGAGGACGGCAGGGGAGACUGGAGCUUCUGGUGUAGCGGUGGAAUGCGCAGAUAUCAGGAGGAACACCAAUGGCGAAGGCAGGUCUCUGGGCCAAUACUGACACUGAGGAGCGAAAGCGUGGGGAGCGAACAGG
rnacentral:rRNA from 1 species